rnacentral:tRNA from 1 species
GCCCGGCUAGCUCAAUCGGUAGAGCGUGAGACUCUUAUAUAGGUAUCUCAAGGCUGCGGGUUCGACCCCCGCGUUGGGCU